CUAUCACUGGCAUUUGGUAGUAUUUUUUAUGCUAGUUACAGCACAAAUUACAGCUCAGAAGAAAAGGUUUGUCUGUUAUGCUAAUGACUUACAGCAUUUGCUUUUCUUCCAAAAGUGAUGCGUUACCUCUGUUCCGUACAGCUGUUCUGGUGUGCUCUUACACGAGCUAUCUUUCUUUUCCUUUUCUACAGCUACAGCUUUUGCUCCUAAAUCUGCAUAUUUUACCCCUGAUUGCAUAAUACUACAAAAAUGUCUUUCAGGUUCAAACUGUAGAAAGCUUCCUCUCUGUUUUUAGUACAUGCUUAUAUAAACCAGUGUGCUCCAGUAAAUGGAGCAGAAUGGCUUCAGGGCAGUGGAGUUGAGCCUGCUGGCGCAGGAUGUGCCCUUGUCCUUGACAAAUCAAGGCUGGUAAUUUUUUUUUUUUUUUUCCCCCUGGCGAGAACUGUUUUUUCCUUUGUAUUUGUAUUCUGAGACAUCCUUAUUCCUUUUAAGAUCUGAUAAAAAUGCUUCAAGUAGUUCUGGGCUUUCCCAGUUGUAACUUACCAAGAUCACUGUAAAUGUGAAGCUAUUUGAAUUAGACUGGACAAGCAAACAUUUCAUUCAGUGAUGCUGUUACUGAGGUUUUUCUGGCAGCAGUUUCAAUGGUGGCAUAGGGCAGAGUGCCACAACUCCAGUUACAACCUAAUAACUGAACACCUUUGUCUCUUCAGCGGUAGUGAAUGUCAUCUGAUUAACUGCAGCUACUUAUGUUUAUACCAUAUAUGGCAUCUUUAUACUCUAUGCAUGGCAGAGUUCACAGAAUUAUUGAUGUGAAUCUCCCUAUUUAUCAGAGUAGGGCAAUAUGCAUCAGGCGCUAAAUGCCCACAGAGAUCUGUGUGCUAGAGAUCGCUAUUAAAUUACCGCUUUAUAUUAAACUUAAUAUUUUUACUUAAACCUCUUGUAAUUUCAUAAAGGACAAAUUAUUACAAACUAAUUCUAUUACUGAAAUCUCAAAAAAUGGGAAAUAAAAUUUGCAGGUUACCAAGGGGAAAGAAACUAUUGCUGAGGCAAUAGGUGAGUAGAAUACAGAUUUCCAUACACUUUGUAUUUUAAGGGUCUAGCUUUGUGUACAGCAAAGCACAUGUGGAGUACUGAUCCAAAAAUACCCUGUGAAUGAGAGUUUUUUCGUCCAUUUGUACAGAGGUUGGAUGAAGACUACCUUCCAUAAUAGAGGUUUCAUAAUAAAGCUGUUUAUAGGUCUUCUAGCACAGUUAGGAGGAACGUCUGAGGUCCAUGUUCUGUGCUGAAAAUGCUGGAGAAAUUCACUGUUUGAUGUGUCUUUUGACCUGAUACCACACCUCAGCCUGUAGCAUUAUUUUGUUGGUCCACAACACUAUUAAUGAUCUCUAGAAUCAUUAUGCUAACUGAAUGCAGUCAGCUGCAUCAUAGUCAGUAGAAGCAAGCCUGCAUUUCUUGCAGACUGACACAUCCUGGCACAGCAGUGGAGCAAACACUAAUUGCGUUGGGGGGGGGGGGGGGGAAAGUGUGUGUUAUUUUUUGUUUUAAGCAGUCCUACAGACUACUACUGAUGGUUUUGCUUGAAAUGCACUUAAAUGAGAUCAUAAACAAGAUGACUGGCAGUUUCAGGUGGAUGUUCUUUGAGACCUUGAGUCCCCUUUUGUGGUGUUUUGCUUUAGUAAUCUUCAUUUACACCUCUGGACAUAAAACCUUUGUUUAUUCUGCCUUAUUCUUCACUAUGCUUUGUGUGUGAAGUGCUCUUCUAGAAUUAAUGGAAGAGGUUUUUCAGAUUUUCCCAUGAGGUGAUCUUUUGUAACAAUAAUAUGGGGGCCAAACUGACAAUUGCCAGGAUAUAUAAUAGUUUUGUCCUUAAUCUUUUCAGGUCACCUAAAUCUAACCUAGAGAAAAGAUUAUACUGAAAUUUUGUGAAAUUUAAUUUGAGGUGGAAAACAUUGUUUGCAGAAAGACUUUAAACUGAUAGUCACAAGAGCUGUGUCUAGUCUUUUUUAAAUUUCUCUUUGCUGAUGGGGUGCGUGUGGGUUUGAGGUGGUGAGGAGGGUGAUGUUCAGUAUCUAGUACAGGGAUUCCUGGCCACUUCUGUGGGCCUAUUUGCAGCCUUGGUAAGUAACUUUUGUGGGGGAUUUGGCUUUAGAUUAAAUAACUGACUGCUGUUUCAGAGGAAUAUUUGUCAAUUUUACUUGCGCGAAGUAGCCCACUUGCGUCCCUUUUACUAGUUAAACCAACUUUGAUAAGGUGGAGUGGGAUAAGAAUAUAUGCGUGCCCCAACAAGUGGACCCAUGCAUGUGUGUUUAAAAAUCAGGAUCUGUUCUUUGUGGCUGUAAUAAAGCAAGUAUAGUUUUGAGGCAGAGAUGCAAAAGCCAGUCUGAUAAAGUUGUCCAAAAGUUUUAAUGCUGUCUGGGGACUUUCCCCUAGUUGGGACUGUAAAACUUUGCUGCUUUCAAAUAGGGUUGUGUAAAAGCUCCAAGGUGCUGUCUCUUUGUACAGGAGUACGUUAGCUGUUUGGUUUAAAUCUAAAUAGUAGCGUAUUUUAUUGCUGAUCUUCCCAAGCUCUUUUGCCUGACUCCACAUUUUAAGUAUAUGAAAUUGUCCAUUUCUGUUUUAAUUACCUGCUUAGACCUCUGGUUCUACAUUAAAUGUAUUAGUCAUAAACUGAUGAACUAGAGCAAGCAAUACUCUCCUUUACUGCUGUUAACCAACAGCUCUCAGUGAAAGUGAAACCUUGAGCAUGGAUCUUCUUCUAUGUCUUUGAGUAUUCUGAAGCUUUAAAGUAAAGCAUUGAAAUGUCAAAAUCUAUAUGGAAAUGCUUUUGCUCUUGGCUGUCAACUGUUACUUGGGAGGGAGACUUCUUUCCUAGGAGAAUGUCUUUUUAUGUGUGUGUGUAUCUUUGAGCUCUUGUUGUGCUGACCUUCUGUCACUUGUUCUCAAAUGCCAAGUUACUGUAUUGGAUUGCGACUUGCCUGUAGUACAGGUGCUCUUCUGUCAUCAGGAACGUAUCUUAGGAAGCAGUUGUGAAUAUUGCAGAUGGCUCCAUGAGUGUAAAUCUAAAGUCAUGGUGGGAGAGUUAAUUAAAGAAUUAAAUGCUGUUAAUAUUUAGAUAAUGAGGAUGCACUAUUGUGAAUGUUACAGUCUAGAAACCCUGCUGAUUGUAUAUGAAAAUAAAGUAUACAUAGAGCAAAUUAUUUUGAUAAAGUUGGAAAUUCCCAAUGAAAUACAAACUGGUAAAUUAAUUUUUACUCAUGUUAGUUGGUGGCGUUCUUCUCUAAGGGAAGGAUCCUCAGACCAGUCUAGAUUUCAGUAUCAGUUUGCAUCUGUGUUUAGUCUAAGUAGUUAGUAGGCUUUCCAGCUGGAACGAGCUUGCGUAGAGAUGAAUUAGGACAGAAUUGUAGAUGUAAAUUUGAGACAGGAGUCUUCUAUAGGAUAAAUACCCAUCUUGUAAACAGUAUAAUAAGGUACCUUGAAAGAAGUUUUUGGAUUCCUAAGUUUAAAGAGUAGUUUUCUUAAUCAGCUGGACAAUCUGGGGCACUAUCACUAUUGGGAUUUGGGAAAGACUAUAUUCUUGCAGUAUGAUGGGUGUUAUUGGAAGUGUGUAUUCAGAAACAUUUGAAUUAUUUUCAACAAAACCAGGUUUAUUUUCUGAUGCUGAGCUUUAGGUAUAUCUAUUUAAAAGAGGAAUUCUUGUAGUAAAAGUUGCAGGAGGAACAAAGAUAAUGGUGUGACAGUAGUUAGGUAUGUGGGUUUGAGACUACGGAGAAUCCAUUCUGUCUUUAACAAAUUAACAUUGGCAUGUUUUUUGGCCUGAUGAGAGAUUGUCAUAGGAAGAUCUAAGUAAUGCAUUAAUGUGGUACCAUGGUAUAACUACCUCGAAGCUUUUAUAUCCUGUAAGGAUACUAUGAUGCAAGUACUACAAAGUAAUCUAGAAAAGUAAUUAGAUUAAAAUGGAAGAAUAACAGAUGUUGAAUUUGGUAUCCAUUACUGGAUGUGGGAUAGUAUUUAUGAAAUCACAUGGCAUUUUGCUCUUUCUUGAAAUAAGCAAAUGGGUAUAAACAAAACUAUCACCAAGAACUUUCAGGUUCCCAACUCUAGCUGCUUCGUUACCUGAGUAUGUAUUGAAAUGUUCUUAAAAUGGAAAAUAAUUAUCUCACUGAAUUUUGUCUCAAAUUGUACAAAAAUAAAUACUUUGCAAUUCAAUUUCAUAAUUUUCCUGAAACUGAUGAUUAAACAUAGUUUAAUUUAAAAAUAUAUACCAGUAAACCUACAUUAGUAUGUUACACUUUGCAUGUCCAAGCAAAUAUUUAAUCAAAACGUGGAUAUCAUAGUGCACUUACAUUUUUAGUGUACUUUAAGGUCAUUAAGUAGCUGUUGCAAUUUAUUUAUGCCAUUGCAGUAAGCUGUGUUUUGUUGAAAGUCUGAUGAUACUGUGUUCAUACAGGCCAUUAGAUUUUAAAUACAAAAUGCAUACAUUUUAGGAAUGUGUAUAGAACAGUUUGUGUGGUCCAAAUGUAUCAGGCAAAGGCAUAAGCUGUAUAGAGUUUGUUUUAAUUUACUUAAACUGUAAAAGUAAUGUUUUUGAUUCUUCGUGUACAGUUAAUGUUUUAGAUAAAAAGCUGAAUGAGGUGAUGGUGAUAAGAUGCCUUUAGAGGUUCAUGAGACCCUUUGAGGAGCAUUUUAAUAGCUUGCGUUUUAGCAAGGAAAUUUUAAAGAAAAAACUACAUGAAAAAUGAAAGACAAACUAAAAUUAAGAAAUUACUGUCUAAUUGGUGAAUUUAGUGUUUAAUACUUGGUACGUUUUUAGUUGUUUGAGGGUUUAAUGAAGUUUAUAUUUUGUGCUUUUUUUCUGAAUGAAAUGUGCAUAUACCACUUAACCUGAUAGUGAUUUGGCUUCAAUCAUGUAUCCUCCAAGUUAAUUGCUUAAUGGUCUGAGUUUGACUUACAGAGUGUGCAGGGCAUGGGUAGGGGGUAGAUUUGAUCCAAGGCUCGCUCUUUCUUUAUUUUUUUUUUUUUUGUUUAAAUCUGUAUUCUUUCUAGGAUACUUAUAUAUCCAAAGAGGGAAUAAAGGCAGAGCACAAAUCCUUAUUCCCUUCCAUGGAACUAUGUAUAAUAAGCCAGUAGAAUAUCAAAGCAGUUGCAUGUGAGUGCAGAGGAGAAUCGUUGCUCUUAAUCCAAGAUUGCUUGUGUCUAGAUGAAAUAACUGUUCGUUCAUUUUAUCUUGAGUGUUUGCUUGCUUCAGUGUUGGGCAACUCUCUCUGAUUUACUGGAGUCUUGCCUGCUCCUAUUAGUGGGUCUUCUGUGUUCAGUUUUCUGAAAUGAUGGCAACACUUGCCAAAAGAGAUCACAAAAAUAUAUGUAUAGAAUGACUAAAGAACUUAUUGUUGCCAUAUAAAGCUGUACAGCCUCUAAUUUGAAACCUAUUUUGUCUUGUGCAGAUGCAUGAAGGAUUGAGCAACACCUCUUCAGAGAAGUCAAGCAGUGCUUUUAAUUCUCAAAUGGUUGAGGCUUCCUGUAGACAUGUCUGAUUAGUGCAAAUUGUCAGCUACUGACAUGGUCGCUCUGUGUUGCUCCUGUGAUCCUUCACUAAGGCUGCUCUAAGAUGACACAUUCGCUGCCUAACUCCUUGUGAGUUAGUGCAGAACAUUCUGGCUGAACGGUGAAAAUCCAGUGUGGGAUUCUUCUGAGGUUGUUUCCACUGACAAAUAAAUACACUUCUAAGCUUAGUGGAAGCAGAAAUCGGGUAGCUCUUGCUAGAGUAUAGAGAGGUAAGAUUAGCUACUUCCCUUCAGUAGACUAUGACUGUCUACAUCCCAGUAAAAGCCUGUCUUUAGUACGAUUAUAUAGAAAUAUCGUUCAUAUCUAUUAUACCUCAUGCUUUGAAAUCUUAUCUUUUUGGAGGAAGAAAAAAUGCCUACAUGUUACUGUUCUGAUACAGAGAGGCAAAGACAUGAAGUCAGAUACUUUCCACUUUGCAAAUUUUAUUAUGCUUUUACUUGCUGUAGAAAGUUGUGUUUUCUCCAUUUAUUUAUUCAUCUGUUGAGCCUUGACAAGCAGAGGGCUUGGUAGUUUGUGGUUUCUCGAUUGGAGGGCUAUAGCCUGUAAUCUUUUAAAAUCUCUGCAUCAUAAAUCUAUGGCCAAUUCUGAAGGAUGAAGCUGGUGUGGGUGGGGGGUUGUAGCUCUUGAGUGUUCCUGGAGGCUACCACUAAUAUCUGAUGAAUCUUUCUUUGAUUACUUUCUGUACUAUCUCAUGCAAGUGUCCAUUAAUUAUAGCAUAAAUAGGACAUGCCUAAAAGAUGAGUCUGGUUUAUAGCAUUUUGUUUGAAGUCUUUUUUUAAAAAAAGGCUUGGCUAUUCAUAGUUGUUCAGAUCGACACAAGUUUUUUUCCAAGGUGUUUUCCUCAUAAUUUAAUGUGCCUGAAUCAAUAAACAAUUUCUCAAGUCUCUGAACUGCUUUUAAUAUUUAAAACUAAGUGUUCCUUUAUUUUUUUAGUCUUAGGAUUCUAUGCCUUAUUCUGAAAUGUUGAAGCAAUUUUAGUAUUUCAAUCACCUAUGUGAAAUUAGUCAUCAAGCAAAAGCCACAACUCCAAUAUAAAGCAAGAAAUUUGUCCGAAACCACUAUUAGAGCCACAUGUUUCUAGAAAGGCACUGUAGACUAAAUAUGAUACUAGAUUGGAUAGAGCAUGCAGACUACAUAUUAAGCGGUCAAAGAAAUGAGGCAAUUUACUUCAGUCAGUUAGUGAAGUUGUUUCCGUGGAUUACAUCAUUUUUACAUAAAGUCUAGAGCUGCUUGAGCAUGAUAUAAAAGAGCUUUGGGGGAGGACAUGCCUGUAACAUUUGGGGUAUAUACCUAUAAUGUUUGGGUCAUAACAGUAUAAAAAAUUACUUUUUUAAAUGAAGUGCUGCAUUCACUAAGAUUCAGAAAGAAUGUUCUGUAGGAAAACUCCCCCAAACUAGCAUGCUGGUCAUUGGUGGUGUUUUGAGCCAUCACUGCUAAAUGGCAUGCCUUUUAUUUACAGGGUAAUGGUACCUGCCAGCCUUGUGUGAGAAUCAAAGUACUACAUUACUAUGAGAACAGACAAUUUAAAAUUGGAAAAGUAAAUGUUGAACCUGUGAUCCUUGUCUUGAGCAAAGCCUGCAGUCUGAUUAAAAUUGCCAUUGCCUAAUAGAAAAAUUUUAUUAAAGUUCUGAAACAGACUGACAGUCUUGGCACUGCAGAUGUGGAUGGUGGCUGG